rnacentral:lncRNA from 1 species
GGCCUACUGACAUUAAGCUUCUGCAAAUGCAACUCAGAUCAUAACGGUAUUUCACUAAGUUGUCAUCUCAAAACAUUGACAAGGACAGUGUUGUCUUCACAAAGUUCCUUCCAGAACAUGGGUACCAUUUCUUUUGUAUUAUUUCCAAGUAGGUACUUUGAAGAAACAAGGACUACUAUUGAUAUCUGAUUUUAUGAGAGUCUCCACACCUGACCAAGCUUCCUCGAGCAGAUGAUAAUCUUCAUCCUUUCAUCAGAGGACAUCAGUGGGCGGCUCUCCUUCCUUGGGCUUGCCAGACUGGCACUAGCAGCUGCAGAUUAGGCCAGACCAAUCCUGGAAGGGUUGCAGGGGCUCCAUCGCUGCCUUCCUGAGCUCGGAGUUGGCCUUGGGGCUCUGGGGCCUCAGGGGAACCUUUUGCAUCUCCAGGAUGCCUGUCCAUUUAACAGGGCUUUGGAUCAAGUUUCUACUUGGUUUUCUACCGGGAUUAGAUCCUGAUCCUGAAUCCUGGUUCCAGUGGCUGUGAAACCCUGCUUGGUCCUUGUCAGCCUCUCUGCAGAUGACCAGGAUGCUGAUGGGGAUGUGAACCCAACACACCUUGAACUACCACAUCCCUGUCCACAGGGAUAACUAUCCACAGUCAGGAGCUUCCAGGAGCCUUGUUUCUGCUUCUCUCUCUUACUGAUGCCCUUGAGGGACCCCAGGCUUGUGACCUCCUGUAAUAUUCUCCCCACCUUACCUCCUCCCCCCACCCCCGCUUCUGCUUCUCCUCUUUCUGUCCCUAGGAAAGCCCCUCAAAAGGGUGAGGGCUCUUCCCAGCACCCUUAAUUCCAGGCUCUUCUCCUUUGCUGCUGGCCUGAGGACAGGGUUCCUUCAAGCUCUGUGACUGGUCUCCAGUGGUCCUCUUCUGAUGACUUUUCUCUGCCUGAAGGCAGCGAGAGAUGUCUGAGUCUGUGUCUGAAGAGGCCAGAGGAGAGGAUGGCCGAGAUGACUUAUGGAGAUCUUGGCAACCCACAUGGCCUUCAGUGGAAAUCCAGGAUCAGGAGAUUUGGGUGUCAGCACAGUGUGGCAUGCCAAAGCAAGGUGGUUUGCGCACGUGAUUCCAUCAGGUAAGAUGUGGAGGAGCUUUUUCAGGCUAAUGAAAACUGAUAAUGCCAAGCAUAAUAGGGGAGGUUUAAAUGGUUAGAGAAGCUGAAUUAUGAGGUUGGAAUGGCAUUUUUUAAAAAAUAUUUUAUUUAUUUAUUCAUGAGAGACACCGAGAGAGAGAGAGAGAGAGAGAGAGAGAGAGAGAGGCAGAGACACAGGCAGAGGGAGAAGCAAGCUCCUCACAGGGAGCCUGAUGUGGGACUUGAUUCUGGAUCCCAGGACCACGACCUGAGCUGAAGGCAGGCACCCAACCCCUGAGCCACCCAGGCAUCCCGGAAAGGCAUUUUUCAUGUGGCUGGUUCCUACUUACUCAGAUUCAUAGAGUCUGUGGCUCUCACCUGCUGACCCACCUCUCCUGCUGUUGACCCAGCUAUAACCCCACUUGGUCAAUCUUUUCUUUAUCUGUUUGGUUUCUUCAUUAGUCUGUGGGAUGUGUUCCUCACAAACUGUUCUGAGAUCAAAGAAAUUUGGGCUACCUGCCUAUGAAACUUCUUUUUGAAAUUUACUCUGAACGUUAACUUCGUAAAGUUUCCAAAAAGUCUUGCAGUGAAGAAGCCUGUCUAAUUUUGUUUAAUCCAGUGGUCCCCCAACUUGCAAUCAACUUCUCUCCCACCCCUAAGCAUUGCCCCCAAACACACACAGGUCCUCUUGGUGUCUGGUGGGCACGGUUUGGGAAAACUUGCCCUACAGUGAUAGAAAGGCCUCCAUAUCCCUUCUAGCUCUAAUCUCGGUUUCCCUUCAACCUUGAUUCUUUUUUUCCUUUUUUGAGAUUUUAUGAACAGUUUUUAUUUUUAUUUUUUGAACAAUUUUUACCAGAGUUCAAUACCAAUAUAAAUUUUACUCACAAAACUUGCAAUUCAAUGAACCCCUUGUUUUCUUUUUACUAUGGUGGUAAAAUAUACAUAAAUUAUGUUGGCCACAUUAGUUACAAUUCCAUGACAUUUAGUACAUUUACAAUAUUUUCCUACCAUCCCUAAUGUCUAGAUGCAGAACACCUUUAUCAUGCCAAAAGGAAACCCACAUUCUACUGGCCACCCUGGCGACCACCAUUCUACUUUCUGGCCCUGGCGACCACCAUUCUACUUUCUGAUUCUAUACAUCUGACUAUGCUAGGGACCUCUUAUAAAUGGAAUCAUACAGUGUCUGUCCUUUU